CUUUCAAUCCAGCUGGACUCCUUCACCCGGAGGUGAGGCUCGGUCCCAUGGAGCUCCCCAGCCUGCAGGGCCAGUCGCAGGCUCCAGAUUGUUUUGCCUGGGGUUCCUGUGACCCCACCCCCACUUGGGUUCUAUUAAUUUUCUAGACCAACUCACAGAUCUGAGGAAAACGUAUCUACUGGUUCAUCACAGAAGAUACUUUAAAGGACACAGCUGACAGCCAGAUGGAGGGAUCUUACAGCCAGGCCUGGGAGAGGCCUGAGCACAGGAGCUGCUGCCUGCUGGAUAGGGUGUGCCAGCCUCCAGGCACGAGACUGGGUUCUUGUUGAGCUUCCUGGAAGCCCCUGAACUCGGCCUUGGUGGGGGGGCAGAGUGUAGAGGCUUCACUAGGGAGCCAUGAGGGAGGAGGCUAUUGGCCCUUGGUGGUCAACUUGGCCUCAGCCGCUCUCCAGAGAUGGGGCCAUGAGUCGAAAUCCUCCGAGCAUCUGGUUGGUUCCCCCGGCAACUGGCCACCACCCCAGGAUUAUCUAGAGACCUUCAAAAAUCACAUCAGUAAGGUCGACUCAGGUGUUGACUGAAAGGGACUUGUCACGAUUCCGUUUGCCUUCGUUGCUCUGGAGACGUGCAGAAAGAUAACUGAUACAUCGAUGAUAGAUACAAGCAGGCAGGGCAGGCAACAAGGGGACAGACAAAAGCCUCAUCAUUGGUUCCAGCAUUUCGACCUCUUCUGCCCCCAACUGCCUGCACCUUCCCCAGGUCUGAGACAGACAACAGCAUGGUGUAAUCUCCUCACAGCUGCUGCAGUCCUCAAUUGAGGUAGAUGUGUCCUGUGUGUCUCAUAACCAUGUCCAGGGAGCAGAGGAGAGAGGCUCCAGUCAGAUUCCUGCACGGAGAGGUGAUCCCUGGCCUGUCCCAGGUGAUUCGACGAAAAAAAAUGCCUGGAUGAAAGGGUUAAAAAUAAUGUUUUAGGGGCCGGGGAUUUAGCUCAGUGGUUUCACCACCUGCUGCACUAGCGCAAGGACCCAAGUUCGAUCCCCGGCACCAAAAAAAUAAAUAAAUAAAUAAAAUGUUUUUGGUGAAAACACACUUAUGGAAGACUCUUCCACGAUGGCUUGGCAGUAUGUGGGCACCAUCUGCCGGAAGAAUAAGGUACAUACAAGUACACCACCAGCACUCCUCUAGGGUUUUUUCUUUUUGUUGUUUUGUUUGUUUUGUUUUGUUUUUCUCUUUUGAGACUGCCUUGCUAUGUUGCUCAAACUAUCCUUGAACUCCAGCCAUCCUCCUGCCUCAGCUUCCUGAAUAGCCUGGACUACUGGCAGGCACCACCACAUGCACAAAGGGAUGAGCUACUGCAGACCUGGCUCAGCCUCUCCUUGAAGCCAAGUGCUUCUCUCAAUGAGACUGGGAGACUCCUGGCCAGACAACCACACUCAGGGCCAAGUCAGCCCAGACUUGGUGACUAGUGAACAAGGGAUUCCUUGAACCAACAGUAAUAACGUGUUCCAGGGUGUAGCUGGCAUGACUCUCAGCCUAACCCCAGUUUUACAGGAAGGGGUAGCAGCUAACCUUUCAAGGGAAAUUUAGCCCUCUUACCUCCUGAAAAGCCACUAGCUCAAUGACGCUUUUGAAUCACAGAAGUUUCCCCAAACGCUGGUGUCCAAAUCACUGACAUUUCCAAGGAGAGCAGACGGUGUCCAGACCAUGACAGCACUGAGAUAGGCUGGACAGUCCAGGUGUCCACAGCCAGAUCUCUGCCCUGGAGAUGUCCUUGUGGUGGUGCCCCCAGAAGAUGUGGAGAAGACACUCAGCAAAUUGCUUUUGAAACAGCAAAAAUCAUAGAACCAACCAACCUGGUCAUCAACAACAGAAAGGAGAAGCAGCUGUUGAGGUGUGUCUUGGUCACGUUCCUCCGUGCUGGGACACAGUGCCCCAUGUUGCAUGACAUCAAAGCUCUUCUGAUCCAAGGGGCAUUCUCUGUCACCAUUCAGCAUGUAGUAUGGUGUCUCCUGUUUCGGACAGAAGAAAAC
ensembl:lncRNA